ensembl:snoRNA small nucleolar RNA snR60/Z15/Z230/Z193/J17
CAGAUACAGUGAUGAUUGCAUAGUUCAGCAGAGAACCUGUGAAGAUCCAUGCAUGUCUUUCGCUCCUAGCUGACGUAUCUG